AUUGAACGCUGGCGGCAGGCCUAACACAUGCAAGUCGAGCGAGCGGCGGACGGGUGAGUAAUGUAUGGGGAUCUGCCCGAUGGAGGGGGAUAACUACUGGAAACGGUAGCUAAUACCGCAUUCUCUCGGAUGUACCCAUAUGGGAUUAGCUAGUAGGGGGGGUAAAGGCUCACCUAGGCGACGAUGUCUAGCUGGUCUGAGAGGAUGAUCGGCCACACUGGGACUGAGACACGGCCCAGACUCCUACGGGAGGCAGCAGUGGGGAAUAUUGGACAAUGGGCGCAAGCCUGAUGCAGCCAUGCCGCGUGUAUGAAGAAGGCUUUAGGGUUGUAAAGUACUUUCAGCGGGGAGGCGUUACCCACAGAAGAAGCACCGGCUAACUCCGUGCCAGCAGCCGCGGUAAUUC
rnacentral:rRNA from 1 species